UACAGAGGUCCCAAGCGUUGUUCGGAUUUAUUGGGCGUAAAGAGCGUGUAGGCGGCCUUACAGGUCAGCUGUGAAAACUCGAGGCUCAACCUCGAGACGUCGGUUGAAACCGUAAGGCUAGAGUCCGGAAGAGGAGAGUGGAAUUCCCGGUGUAGCGGUGAAAUGCGCAGAUAUCGGGAAGAACACCCGUGGCGAAGGCGGCUCUCUGGGACGGUACUGACGCUGAGACGCGAAAGCGUGGGGAGCGAACAGG
rnacentral:rRNA from 1 species